rnacentral:rRNA from 1 species
UGGGGAAUCUUCCGCAAUGGACGAAAGUCUGACGGAGCAACGCCGCGUGAGUGAUGACGGUCUUCGGAUUGUAAAGCUCUGUUAAUCGGGACGAAUGGUUUGUGUGCAAAUAGUGCAUAGACAUGACGGUACCGGAAUAGAAAGCCACGGCUAACUACGUGCCAGCAGCCGCGGUAAUACGUAGGUGGCAAGCGUUGUCCGGAAUUAUUGGGCGUAAAGCGCGCGCAGGUGGUUUAGAAAGUCUGAUGUGAAAGCCCACGGCUCAACCGUGGAGGGUCAUUGGAAACUAAUAAACUUGAGUGCAGGAGAGAAAAGUGGAAUUCCUAGUGUAGCGGUGAAAUGCGUAGAGAUUAGGAGGAACACCGGUGGCGAAAGCGGCUUUUUGGCCUGCAACUGACACUGAGGCGCGAAAGCGUGGGGAGCAAACAGG